rnacentral:rRNA from 1 species
UACGUAGGGGGCAAGCGUUGUCCGGAUUUAUUGGGCGUAAAGAGCGUGUAGGCGGCUAGAUAGGUCCGUUGUGAAAACUCGAGGCUCAACCUCGAGACGCCGAUGGAAACCAUCGAACUAGAGUCCGGAAGAGGAGAGUGGAAUUCCUGGUGUAGCGGUGAAAUGCGCAGAUAUCAGGAAGAACACCCGUGGCUAAGGCGGCUCUCUAGUACGGUACUGACGCUGAGACGCGAAAGCGUGGGGAGCGAACAGG